UACGUAGGGUGCGAGCGUUAAUCGGAAUUACUGGGCGUAAAGCGUGCGCAGGCGGUUCGUUGUGUCGGCGGUGAAAGCCCCGGGCUCAACCUGGGAAUGGCCGUUGAAACUGGCGAACUGGAGUGUGGCAGAGGGGGGUGGAAUUCCGCGUGUAGCAGUGAAAUGCGUAGAUAUCGGGAGGAACACUAGUGGCGAAGGCGACUACCUGGCCUGUUCUUGACGCUGAGGCGCGAAAGCUAGGGGAGCAAACGGG
rnacentral:rRNA from 1 species